CACUCCUUUUCUCUCUCAUCAGCUAAAGCUAUUAGGCUACAAUACUAACCCAAUGCUUCAAGAUAUCCUCGCAAUAUUGUAGAAUAAACCCAUAAAAAGUCUUGCAAAAUUUUGUGCCGAUUCAUACAAGAUUUUCUUUUGACCCAUAUAUAGUUUAAGAGGCUGAUGUCUUGAUUUUUCUGGUUUUUGAGGUUGCUUUUAUGGUGUUGUGUCUACUGUUGAUUGCUUGUGUGGGUUUGGAGAUGUGAGAUCUGUGCUGAAAAAAGUACGUAAAGAAAUGGCUGAGGUCUCGAAUAUGGGUUACACGGAGCCCGUGAUAGCAGAAAUGGGAAUUUCAGGCAUCGGAAAAGUGGAUGCUGAGACAGCGUUAUACACGGAGCUAUGGAAAGCUUGUGCUGGUCCUUUAGUCACUGUGCCUCGGGAAAAUGAGCUCGUUUUCUAUUUCCCUCAGGGUCACAUAGAACAGGUGGAGGCAUCAACUAAUCAAAGUGCAGACCAGCAGAUGCCUGUGUAUAAUCUUCCUCCGAAGAUCCUUUGCCGUGUGGUUAAUGUUUUACUGAAGGCUGAACCAGACACAGAUGAGGUAUUUGCGCAUGUGAUUUUGAUGCCAGAACCUUAUCAAGAUGAGAAUGCUGUGAAGAAGGAGCCUCUGCCGCCCACACCUCCAUGUUUUCAUGUCCAUUCUUUCUGCAAGACUCUAACUGCCUCUGAUACAAGCACUCAUGGUGGAUUCUCGGUUCUGAGACGGCAUGCAGAUGAAUGUCUACCCCCACUGGACAUGUCACUUCAACCUCCAACUCAGGAACUAGUAGCCAAAGACUUGCACGGAAAUGAGUGGAGGUUUCGGCAUAUUUUUCGUGGUCAACCACGGAGGCACCUCCUUCAGAGUGGUUGGAGUGUUUUUGUUAGUUCUAAGAGGCUUGUUGCUGGCGACGCCUUCAUAUUUCUAAGAGGUGAGAAUGGGGAGCUUCGUGUUGGAGUUAGGCGUGCGAUGAGACAAGAAGGAAAUGCUCCGUCGUCCGUCAUAUCAUGUCAUAGCAUGCAUCUUGGUGUGCUGGCAACAGCUAUGCAUGCCAUUCAGACAAAAACAAUAUUCACAGUAUAUUACAAGCCUAGGACGAGCCCAUCCGAGUUCAUUGUGCCGUUUGAUCAGUACAUGGAGUCUGUGAAAAACAAUUAUUUAAUAGGAAUGAAGUUUAAAAUGAGAUUUGAAGGUGAAGAAGCUCCAGAGCAGAGGUUUACUGGAACAAUAGUUGGUAUUGAAGCAUCUGAUUCAAGAAGGUGGCCACAAUCGAAAUGGAGAUGUCUAAAGGUGCGUUGGGAUGAAAUGUCCACAAUAUCUCGACCAGAGAGGGUUUCUCCUUGGGAAAUAGAACCUUCUCUUUCUCCUCCUGCCCUUAAUCCACUUCCUGUGCCCAGACCAAAACGACCUCGAUCAAAUGUCUUGCCCGUUUCCUCGGACUCUUCUGUCCUUACCAGGGAAAGUUCAGCUAAGAUGACUGUAGACCCUUCACCAGCCAGUGGGUUUCCAAUGGUCUUCCAAGGUCAAGAAUUGUCAAUCUUGAAAGGCACUUUUUCAGAGAGCAAUGAAUCAGAUUCUUCCGAAAAGCCAAUGUUGUGGCCACCUUCAUCAGAUGAAGAAAAGAUUGAGCAUGUUUCCUCUUCAAGAAGAUAUGGGUCGGAUAAGUGGUUGCCUUUAGGAAGGCCAGAGUCGUCAUUCACAGAUCUUUUAUCAGGUUUUGGAUCACAAUAUAAUUUGUCCCGUGAGUUCUCUUUGCCUUCAGGUAAUACUGCAGUUUCCAAGCAACAAGUAGAAGAGCGUGAAGAGAAGUUCUGCUUAAUUGGAAAUGCAUGGUCUAUGAUACCUUCUUGUCUCUCGCUUAAUUUGAUGGAUACUGGUAUGAAAACUCAUGGACAAGGUCCUGAUGCUUCGUAUCACACACAAGGGGAUAUUAGAUGCAGUGGUGGAUUGAGAGAAUAUUCUAUGCUUCCUGAUCACAGAGAUGGCAAUAAGCAUGUAAAUUGGUUGAUGCCUCCACCAAAUUCACCGUAUCUUCAAAUAACUCCUGGUCAAUCUAGAGAACUGCAGCCAAAUUCUGUAUUUGCACAACGUGACACCACAAAACCCAAGGAAGGUAACUGCAAGCUCUUUGGUGUUCCCCUUAUAAGUGGCUCUGUUCCAACAGAGCAAGAACUGUUGCACACGAAUGCAAUGAUUGAAACAAGUCGUGUACAUGGUGUGAUGCAUUCUCAUCAGUCCCCAGCGUUAGCAUCUGAUCAGAGGUCUGAUCAAUCAAAGGGCUUAAAGAUGGCAGAUAAUCCAGUUGCAAGUGAGCAGGAUAAACAUUUUCAAACUUGCCAUCCGCUUGCUAGAGAGAGGGAAGGCAAAGGUGUUUCUGGUUCAACAAGGAGUUGCACCAAGGUUCAUAAGCAGGGGGCUGCCCUUGGUAGGUCAGUUGAUCUUGCCAAGUUCAACAACUAUGAUGAACUGACUGCUGAUUUGGAUAAUAUCUUUGAAUUUAAUGGUGAACUCAAGGCUCCAAAUAAGAAUUGGCUUGUAGUUUAUACUGAUGACGAAGAUGAUAUGAUGCUUGUUGGAGAUGACCCGUGGGAAGAAUUCUGUAGCAUGGUUCAUAAGAUCCUAAUCUGUACGAAAGAUGAGGUCCAACGGAUGAACUGGGGCACCAUAAAUUCACGAGAGGAAAUUUCAUCAGUUGCAGGAGGCUUGGAUGCUAAAGAAACGAAGAAUUUGCAAGUUGCUCAAGGCUCAAGCCCAGAGAAUUACUAACAAUCCUCGUUUAUGUAAAGUCAUUUUUCUUUGCUGCCACUGCCUUUUUUGCUUCAUCUUUUGGGGGUAUGUUGUCCAUCUAGCAGAUGAAUUUUGGGUACAUGAAUAUGAAGUUCCAUUAAACUCUGGAAGGUUGAACUUCUUGAUUUUGCAAUUUUGUUAUAUUUUUCCCAGGGCCAACAUGAGGUGCCUGGUAUUUUGUGCAUAAUAUACGUAUGAGCAAUGAACAUGCAUCCACCUUGUUCGACCUUUUGUACCCGAACUUCUCUGAUAUCUCCAGCAUUAAUUUAAGCAAGAAGUUGAAUACAUAUAUGGGUUUCGUGCA